GGGCUAGUUUUCAGAUUCGAUUGGCGGUGGCGGGUGCGGUAAGCACGCCGAAGGCUCGGCUUCGUAAAAACGGAAACCUUUAAAUUUAAAUGCAGACAAUAAUCGUCUCGCUUGCGUUGCUUAAUUAACGCAUGUCUUUCGUUCGGUUCCUAUCGCCGUUCGACGGGCAUCAUUUGAGAUAGGGAACGGCUCUUCCGUCUUCGCCGUGGCGGAAAAGUUGUAUUUUUAACGGCGCACGUUCCCUCGGGUUUGUUUGUUGAAACGCAGGGAAAAGGGAUUAAAAACAAACUAAGCGUGUAGAAAGCCCAUCUAAAAUCGUUAAGACUCGGGUGCAAGUCCCGACUGGUCCACCA
rnacentral:tmRNA from 1 species